AGAAUCAACGCUGGCGGCGUGCCUAACACAUGCAAGUCGAACGCGAAAGUCCCGAAAGGGAUAAGUAGAGUGGCAAACGGGUGAGUAACACGUGGGUGACCUGCCUUCGAGCGGGGGAUAACGUCCCGAAAGGGACGCUAAUACCGCAUGACAUCCUGCCUUUGAAGAGGCGGAGAUCAAAAGCCGGGGAUCGCAAGACCUGGCACUCGAAGAGGGGCCCGCGCCUGAUUAGCUAGUUGGUGGGGUAAUGGCUCACCAAGGCGACGAUC
rnacentral:rRNA from 1 species